UACGGAGGGGGCUAGCGUUGUUCGGAAUUACUGGGCGUAAAGCGCACGUAGGCGGCUUUGUAAGUUAGAGGUGAAAGCCCGGAGCUCAACUCCGGAAUUGCCUUUAAGACUGCAUCGCUUGAAUCAUGGAGAGGUGAGUAGAAUUCCGAGUGUAGAGGUGAAAUUCGUAGAUAUUCGGAAGAACACCAGUGGCGAAGGCGACUCACUGGACAUGUAUUGACGCUGAGGUGCGAAAGCGUGGGGAGCAAACAGG
rnacentral:rRNA from 1 species